rnacentral:miRNA from 1 species
UUUGAUUGUUUAGUUUUUGAGAUAAGUUCUCACUAAUAGCGCUAGUUGGCUUGGAACUUGCUAUUUAGACUGAACUGUCCUCAAACUCAUGGAGAUUUUUCCUGUCUC